rnacentral:rRNA from 1 species
AGGACAUCGGGGCAGGCAGCCGGGGUAGUGCGUAGGUGGCAAGUGUUGUCCGGAUUGAUUGGGCGGAAAGGGCGUGUAGGCGGCCAUGCAGGUCAGCUGUGAAAACUCGAGGCGCAACCUCGAGACGUCGGUUGAAACCGUAUGGCUAGAGUCCGGAAGAGGAGAGUGGAAUUCCCGGUGUAGCGGUGAAAUGCGCAGAUAUCGGGAAGAACACCCAUGGCGAAGGCAGCUCUCUGGGACGGUACUGACGCUGAGACGCGAAAGCGUGGGGAGCAAACAGGAUUAGAUACCCCGGUAGUC